UUAUGGCCAUAUCACAUAGAAACACCAGUUCUCAUACAAUCACUGAAGUUAAGCAAUGUCGAGCCUGGUCAGUGCCUAGAUGGGUGACUGCUUGGAAAUAACAGGUGCUAUA